GCGGUGGAGCAUGUGGUUUAAUUCGAAGCAACGCGAAGAACCUUACCAGGUCUUGACAUCCCCUGACAACCCGAGAGAUCGGGCGUUCCCCUUCGGGGGACAGGGUGACAGGUGGUGCAUGGUUGUCGUCAGCUCGUGUCGUGAGAUGUUGGGUUAAGUCCCGCAACGAGCGCAACCCUCGACCUUAGUUGCCAGCAUUCAGUUGGGCACUCUAAGGUGACUGCCGGCUAAAAGUCGGAGGAAGGUGGGGAUGACGUCAAAUCAUCAUGCCCCUUAUGACCUGGGCUACACACGUGCUACAAUGGGCGGUACAAAGGGUCGCGAACCCGCGAGGGGGAGCCAAUCCCAAAAAGCCGCUCUCAGUUCGGAUUGCAGGCUGCAACUCGCCUGCAUGAAGCCGGAAUCGCUAGUAAUCGCGGAUCAGCAUGCCGCGGUGAAUACGUUCCCGAGCCUU
rnacentral:rRNA from 1 species